rnacentral:rRNA from 1 species
GCUGAAGGAGGAGCUUGCUUCUCUGGAUGAGUUGCGAACGGGUGAGUAACGCGUAGGUAACCUACCUGGUAGCGGGGGAUAACUAUUGGAAACGAUAGCUAAUACCGCAUAAAAUUGAUUAUUGCAUGAUAGUCAAUUAAAAGGUGCAAUUGCAUCACUACCAGAUGGACCUGCGUUGUAUUAGCUAGUUGGUGAGGUAACGGCUCACCAAGGCAACGAUACAUAGCCGACCUGAGAGGGUGAUCGGCCACACUGGGACUGAGACACGGCCCAGACUCCUACGGGAGGCAGCAGUAGGGAAUCUUCGGCAAUGGACGGAAGUCUGACCGAGCAACGCCGCGUGAGUGAAGAAGGUUUUCGGAUCGUAAAGCUCUGUUGUAAGAGAAGAACGAGUGUGAGAGUGGAAAGUUCACACUGUGACGGUAUCUUACCAGAAAGGGACGGCUAACUACGUGCCAGCAGCCGCGGUAAUACGUAGGUCCCGAGCGUUGUCCGGAUUUAUUGGGCGUAAAGCGAGCGCAGGCGGUUAGAUAAGUCUGAAGUUAAAGGCUGUGGCUUAACCAUAGUACGCUUUGGAAACUGUUUAACUUGAGUGCAAGAGGGGAGAGUGGAAUUCCAUGUGUAGCGGUGAAAUGCGUAUAUAUAUGGAGGAACACCGGUGGCGAAAGCGGCUCUCUGGCUUGUAACUGACGCUGAGGCUCGAAAGCGUGGGGAGCAAACAGGAUUAUAUACCCUGGUAGUCCACGCCGUAAACGAUGAGUGCUAGGUGUUAGACCCUUUCCGGGGUUUAGUGCCGCAGCUAACGCAUUAAGCACUCCGCCUGGGGAGUACGACCGCAAGGUUGAAACUCAAAGGAA